CCCGGGAAAUUCUUGUGAGGAUUAACUGCCUCUUCUUGUCUUGGAAUUACUUUAAAAAGAAAAAGUUGUAAGUUUUAUUUUUACAAAUUAUGACAUUCCGUACACAGAAGUAAGUUAGAUAGAAAUGUUUUGGUUUCCAUUUCUUUGCUUCAGAGAUGUGUAACGAAGUAUUUGGGGGUGAAAUGAUGUGCUGUCUGUAAUUUGCUUCCUGGUAAUGGGGAGUGGGACGUAAAAAUUAAGAUUGGUCGUUAGGGAUGGCCUUUAGAGCCUCACACUACAUCUCAUUACUGUUCCCCGUAAUUUUCUGUAUCAGAAAUGUUUCAUAAUACUGCUUUUAAAAAGUCAUUUCCUUCUUAAUGUUUGUUUGGUCAUCUCUGGAAAUUCCAACAAGUAUUUAUUCAGUGACAGCUAGUAUACUCAAAGCACUGUUUCCUACUGUGGAGAGUUUACCAAGCACUUACUGCCUCCUGAUUUUUCCCUUCACUGCCUUCUUUUCUUCUGUGUCACAUCCUGUACCUGCUCCCUUCCUUUUGUCCAUUUUUUUUCCUAUAAUAAAUUUGUAAAUAGUAUCUGGAACUUUAACAGCAGCACAGGAAUUUUAAAAGUUUAACCUUCCUGAGUUUAAAAACUCAGUUUAAGAUAUUCCACUGCAUCCUCCAUGAAUUAUAGAAUUCAAGACACAGAGGGCUGCCAGCCAGUGACACCGAAUGCCUUGGUUCCCAUUUCUUUGUACUCUUUUAUAUUAGUCCUUUAUAUUAGUUUGCCUUUUCUAAAUCAGCAGCAAUAUUCUUUUUUCUUCCUUUCUUUCUUUUUUUUUUUUAAGUCCUGGGGAUCAAGAUCAAAUCCAGGGCCUCAAAGCUUGUCCUGCAUGACUUUGACCUAUCCUUAGUCCAAAUAAUUCUCAAGUUAAAGUGUCAGGAUUAAUGUCUCUCACACCCAGAAAUGUAAGUUGGUUUCCAGAGCCAUUCCACUUAUAAAGUAACCCAAUGUGCAAUCAACUAUUCUUUCUGGAGUCCUUAGGUUAAAAUUGUAGGGGCUAUUUGAAAAAUCUCUAUUCUUCCUCCCACUUUCUAAGUUAUUGCCUCUGGGCACAGACCAACAUAGAUGGCAAUGAUUUCAAAUGAAAGUAGCCUAGGCUGGGUAUGCAGCUCUGUGGUAGGAUGUGUGCCUAGCAUGCUUGAAGCUCUGGAUUCAAUCCCCAGCCCUAAAGGAAAAAAAAAAAAAUAGUAACCUAAUUCUGUGGGUUUGAUAGAUUAUAUACAUAUAAUGAACAGUAUGUCUGGCAAGUUAGAUAUAUUCUACUAUUCUAAGUGCUACUACUCUCAGCUUAGGAAAAUUGGCCAUAACUAGAGUGAUCAACCCUUUAAAUAAAGAAUGUGUUCCCAGAUGCCGUGGCACACACCUGUAAUCCCAGUGACUCUGGAGGCUGUGGCAGGAGGAUCACAAGUUCAAAUCCAGCCUCAGCAAGGCGCUAAGCAACCGAGUGAGACCCUGUCUCUAAAUAAAAUACAAAAUGGGGCUGGGGAUGUGGCUCAGUGGUCAGGUGCCCCCAAGUUCAAUCCCUGGUACCAAAAAAAAAGAAUGUGUGAGCUAGAAGAAUGUCUAUCUAUGGGAUAAUCAAACGUGGGAACUUCAGCUUUCUCCUUCCCAUGAUUUCUUCUCCAGUUAAACCAUCACACACACACAGGCCCUAUUGAGGACAUGGUAUAAUGAAAACGAUGAGCUUUGUAAUGAGAUAGACUUAGAUUUGAAUUCUGACCUCAUCAUUUACUGGAUUCUGUGAAGCUUUGGUUCCCAUUUUCUGAAAAUAUAAUCAGAGCAUUAAAUCAUUCAGUUUAUAGAAAAUGGUUAACAUGUAGCCUGUCACACAGUAAUGAUUCAAAAAUGCUUCAUUUCUUUCCAAUGUGAGCUGCUCCAUCUAUGGAACAUUUGAGUCAAGUAUCUUAAAUUAUAAUCAUCUCCUAAAUCACAUCCUUCUUAUUAAAGCAGCCACAAGCAGAUCAUGCAUUCUGCCUCUCAGCAUGCCUGCACAUAACAAUACUGGCCUGUGUACCUCACUGGACUUUACAUGAAUAAGAGACAGGUCCAGUCCUGCUUUUCAGAAAGAAGUACCAAGAGCUGGUAGGUAGAAAAUCAAAACUCCAUAGAAAGGGGAAAAGGGAUAAGACUACUGUUUGAUGAGUAAGAGAGAGCUUUAGAGAAAUUUUUUUUAAAAAAAAAAAGUUUCCAACAGGAAAUUUGAAUUGCAAAAUAGAGCGAUCUGGUCACAAUGGUAAACUAAAUUGUUGUUUCAUGACCUUUCCAAAUUCUUAUCAAGUGAAUCAUGGAUAUGUGGGACCAAAGAGGAAGUAAAAGUUCAUAACAGCCAGUAACAUAACUAUAUAGACUUCAAGAACAGACUGUUUAAAAAAAAAUAAGCAGAAUAUCAUUGAAGCCAUUAUUAGAUUCAUGUCACUUAUUAUUCCCCCAAUAUGGCACUGAAUCUUAUUGGCUUCCAUGGGUAAUGUGAGAUUUUUCUGUCAUAAUUUGAUCAAUCCUUCCCUACCUAAGUAAUUGUUAGUCAGCUUCCUAUUACUGUAACAAAAUACCUGAAAUAAUCAGCUUAUAGAGAGAAAAGUUUUAUUUUUGGCUUACAGUUCCAAUGUGGUUCAUUGGCCCCAUUGUUUUUAUUUUUUUAGGUUCACUCUUUUUGGAGGUGGGUACCAGGAAUUGAAUCCAGGGACACUCAGCCACUGAGCCACAUCCCCAGCCCUAUUUUUGUAUCUGUUUGGAGACAGAGUCUCACCCAGUUGCUUAGUGCCUCACUUUUGCUGAGGCUGGCUUUGAACUCCAUCCUCCUGUCUCAACCUCCUGAGUCUCUGGGAUUACAGGCAUGCACCACCUCACUCGGCUGGCCCCAUUGUUUUUGGAUGAGGUAGUACAUCAUGGCAGGGAGCACAUGGUGAGCAAAGCUGCACACCUCAUGGUGGCCAAGGAACAGAGACAGGGAGAAUAGGGACUGGAGCCCUAUUACUCCCUUCAAGAACAUGCUCCCGGUGACCUGGAAAGCUCCCACUAGGCUCCAUCUCUUAAUGUCCACCACCUCUCAAUGUCCAUCACCUCUCAAUGUACACCACUUCUCAAUAGCCCCAAGCUGGGGACUAAGCCUUUAACACAUGAGCCUUUGAGGAACAUUCAAGAUCCAAACUAUUGCCCCAACUCCCUGCCUGAAGAGGAAGAAAAAGCAACACAGAGCAUCCAGAAUUUUAAAUGACUGGGAACAGUGACCAGGAAAAUGUCUGUGCAUGUUCAAGAUAGAUGCAAUUUUUUCCCAGGUAUUUUCUAUUCCUGGUUGGUUGAAUCCUGGAUGUGAAACUCCCUGACAUAGAAGGACAAUUGUAUUUGGCACCGAGGAUUAAGUUACCUAUGUGACAUAAAUUCCACUCUCUAAACACCACCACCACCUUCCAAAACCAACCAACCAACCAACCAGCCGACUAAACAAACCCACAACUUCUAGGAGUGGAAGAAGAAAUGAAGAAGAAAAUGAAGAGCAAGGAGGAAGAUACUGAGGAGCAAACUGCAGGAACAAACUGAUUUUGUAGCCUUGGUAUAUAGGAAAAGACUCUAUUUUGAUGACUUACUUGCAUAUAUAUUGUCCCAGAAGGGAAAAAAUAUAGAGAGUAAAUGAAGAAAUCAGAGAUAGCUAUGCAGAUCAUGCCAAGGAGAAAUAUGUGCAAAUGGAAUGAUAUUCUAUUAAAAAAUAUAGACUUGAAAGAGGUAUGUGGCCUGUGCCUUUGAAAACAUCAGGGAAAAAUGUAUACAUGUUCAUAAAAUUUUAAUUGUAGUGACACAUGCUUCUACAUUAAGAAUAAUUAGAAGAAAUUUGGCAUAAUUAAAAUAAAAAAUUCAGUAACUUUUAAAACUUAAAUUUAUAUAAAAAGUAAAAAAGAACAGUAUGAAAUAAUUUUAAAUUAUUUUUUAAAAACUACAUGGGAGAAUUGUUUUUAUUGAUUCCCAUGAAAUUACUAUGUGUGUAUAUUUUACUGGGGAUGGAACCCAAGGCCUUUUCUUUGUAAAAAAAAAAAAAAAGUACUUGAUCACUGAUCUCCCACUGAAUUAUAUCUCUAGCUCUUUUUAUUUUAUUUCAAAUAAAAUAAAAUGCUCAGUUGCGCCUUAA